rnacentral:lncRNA from 1 species
UGAGUUGGGACCUAGAACAUCAUCUUUUUCAACUAUAGUUCCCGGUGGCUCCCACCUCUCGAAUUCUUGGGUUUUCUGGUAAAAUUAGGAAACACACAUCAAAACAACAUUAAAAUACGUAAAGGGCGGUGAAAACAAAGGGCAGAAGACUCACUAGGUCGAGUUGGGGUUUCGGCACAGCGGCGCCACCGAGCUCUACCGUCUGGUUCUCCUCUAUUGACGCUCUUUUCUCUUUGCCAAGCCGAACCUGGCAAAUUCGUGAUGGAAAUCAAGUUAAAUCAUGGAGAGGAGAGUGUUUCACAGGAAAAUAGAGGAAAUUUCAGCCUUACCGAUCGGAUUUUAAUUUUUGAUGCAGUGGUGCAACCGUGCUCUAUCAUCUGUCUCUAUCGAGUUGUGACUUUCUUUAGUUUUUUCUAUAUUAGAAUUACUCUAAAUGACCUAGGGUGAGAAAAUAGAAAGAACGAUAAGAAAAAUCAUGCUUACUGAUGCAUUUUACGUCUCCAACACGGUGACAUCAUCAUCCCUCCGACGGCUGAGCUUCUUCCGACUGCCCUUCUUCUUCUUCUCCGGUCAGAGGUGUCGGCUAAGAUUUGGGUGCCGACUGAAGAGAGGUUUAUAUACCUCUCUUCAUCUUAUCUGGGUCGUCUAAUUUGGUGGAUGUGGAGGCAAGAGGGUCAUCCGAUCGAGCCUGUUUAGGAAAUCAAUCUGGACCGUUCGCGUACGUGGGUGUGGCCCUAAGCCGUCCAAUCGUCUUGGCACGUGGAUCGCCAGCAGGGCUUCUCACGUGGAGCUCGUGUUGACGGGGCCGCCACGCGGCAUGUGGUGAUUCAU